rnacentral:lncRNA from 1 species
CCGGUGACCAUACGGAAUGCAAUUCCUGCUUUCUCUGCACCACCACUUUCUCAAUCAUCUCAGUCUCCUAGGGUGAUGAGGCCUCCAGGUCUGAGAGUGGCACCACCUGUCUGUAUAAGACAAGCAGUGCCAGUUUAUGCUGCACCCCCUGUUCGGGCAGAGGAGCUCCCCAAAUUAGAUAGGGCGAUGAUGAGGCAUCCAGGUAUGGGAGUGGCACCACCUGUCUGUAUGAGACAGGCAGUGCCAGUUUAUGCUGCAUCACCUGUACGAGCAGAGGAGCCAACCAGUUUAGAUACAGCGCUUCAAGUAAAGGAGCCUACAUUUUCUAAAGCUCCAUCUGUUAAAGUUGACGAACCGCUAGCUUUGAAGACACCCGAAAUUCAGGUACAGGAAUUACCAACUUGUGAAGC